GGUGGGUUGGCCGAGAGGCGAGGCAGCGGCCUGCAAAGCCGUACACACGGGUUCGAAUCCCGUACCCACCU
rnacentral:tRNA from 15 species